rnacentral:tRNA from 1 species
UUUAAAAUGGCAGAAUAGUGCAUUGGAUUUAAGCUUCAAGUAUAAAGUUAAACUUUUUUUAAAAA